rnacentral:sRNA from 1 species
GCCGGGCGUAGUGGUGUACACCUGUAAUUCCAGCCACUGGGGAGGCUGAGGCAGGAGAAUAUUGAGUUCAAAGCUAGACUCAGCAACUGCAAGGUGCUAAGCAACUCAGUGAGACUCUAUCUCUG